UAUAAGCAACUAUACGGUGAAACUGCGAAUGGCUCAUUAAAUCAGUUAUCGUUUAUUUGAUAGUACUUCGCUACAUGGACAACUGUGGUAAUUCUAGAGCUAAUACAUGCUAAAAACCCCGACUUCGGAAGGGGUGUAUUUAUUAGAUAAAAAACCAACGCCCUCCGGGGCUCCUUGGUGAAUCAUAAUAACUUCACGAAUCGCAUGGCCUUGAGCCGGCGAUGGUUCAUUCAAAUUUCUGCCCUAUCAACUUUCAAUGGUAGGAUAGUGGCCUACCAUGGUCUCAACGGGUAACGGGGAAUUAGGGUUCGACUCCGGAGAGGGAGCCUGAGAAACGGCUACCACAUCCAAGGAAGGCAGCAGGCGCGCAAAUUACCCAAUCCCGACACGGGGAGGUAGUGACAAUAAAUACUGAUACAGGGCUCUUUCGGGUCUUGUAAUUGGAAUGAGUACAAUUUAAAUCCCUUAACGAGGAACAAUUGGAGGGCAAGUCUGGUGCCAGCAGCCGCGGUAAUUCCAGCUCCAAUAGCGUAUAUUAAAGUUGUUGCAGUUAAAAAGCUCGUAGUUGAACCUUGGGCCUGGCUGGCCGGUCCGCCUCACCGCGUGUACUGGUCCGGCCGGGCCUUUCCUUCUGGGGAACCGCAUGGCCUUCACUGGCCGUGCCGGGGAACCAGGACUUUUACUUUGAAAAAAUUAGAGUGUUCAAAGCAGGCCUUUGCUCGAAUACAUUAGCAUGGAAUAAUAGAAUAGGACGUGCGGUUCUAUUUUGUUGGUUUCUAGGACCGCCGUAAUGAUUAAUAGGGACAGUCGGGGGCAUCCGUAUUCA
rnacentral:rRNA from 1 species